CACGUAGGGUGCAAGCGUUAUCCGGAAUCACUGGGCGUAAAGCGCACGUAGGCGGCUUUGCAAGUUAGAGGUGAAAGCCCGGGGCUCAACUCCGGAAUUGCCUUUAAAACUGCAUCGCUAGAAUUGUGGAGAGGUAAGUGGAAUUCCGAGUGUAGAGGUGAAAUUCGUAGAUAUUCGGAAGAACACCAGUGGCGAAGGCGACUUACUGGACACAUAUUGACGCUGAGGUGCGAAAGCGUGGGGAGCAAACAGG
rnacentral:rRNA from 1 species